UGGGGAAUUUUGGACAAUGGGCGAAAGCCUGAUCCAGCAAUGCCGCGUGUGUGAAGAAGGCCUUCGGGUUGUAAAGCACUUUUGUCCGGAAAGAAAUCCUUGGCUCUAAUACAGUCGGGGGAUGACGGUACCGGAAGAAUAAGCACCGGCUAACUACGUGCCAGCAGCCGCGGUAAUACGUAGGGUGCAAGCGUUAAUCGGAAUUACUGGGCGUAAAGCGUGCGCAGGCGGUUUGCUAAGACCGAUGUGAAAUCCCCGGGCUCAACCUGGGAACUGCAUUGGUGACUGGCAGGCUAGAGUAUGGCAGAGGGGGGUAGAAUUCCACGUGUAGCAGUGAAAUGCGUAGAGAUGUGGAGGAAUACCGAUGGCGAAGGCAGCCCCCUGGGCCAAUACUGACGCUCAUGCACGAAAGCGUGGGGGAGCAAACAGGAUUAGAUACCCUGGUAGUCCACGCCCUAAACGAUGUCAACUAGGUUGUUGGGGACUUCAUUUCCUUAGUAACGUAGCUAACGCGUGAAGUUGACCGCCUGGGGGAGUACGGUCGCAAGAUUAAAACUCAAAGGAAUUGACGGGGU
rnacentral:rRNA from 1 species